rnacentral:rRNA from 1 species
GUGCCAGCAGCCGCGGUAAUACGGAGGGGGCGAGCGUUAUUCGGAAUUAUUGGGCGUAAAGGGCAGGUAGGCGGCCGCGUGUGUCCUCUGUGAAAUCCCUCGGCUUAACCGGGGAACUGCAGGGGAAACUACGUGGCUUGAGUCCGGGAGAGGAGAGCGGAAUUCCCAGUGUAGCGGUGAAAUGCGUAGAUACUGGGAGGAACACCGGUGGCGAAGGCGGCUCUCUGGACCGGUACUGACGCUGAGCUGCGAAAGCUAGGGGAGCAAACGGGAUUAGAUACCCUUGUAGUCC